CUGAAAUGCCUUUUAUACACCAAUCAGUUUCCUGGAUUUAAAUUGAGGCCUAUGUGUGUGUUAUACCUGCUCCAGGGCCCUGGAGACUGUAGUCUUAUGUAGUCUCCACGGGGCAGGUGCAGUAGCUGGUAGAUGAUCUGUCCAUUAGGU